GACACGGACCAAAAAUAUCCCCUAACCUAAUUACAGUUGGUUUCUACGCCUCUCUUUCUCUCUGUCGAGAGGAACAAGACACGAUUAUGUGUCUUCGCCGGUGAAAUCGAGCUUCCCUUCCCUUCCAGUGUAACCUCUUCGUCUGUCCCUUUCUCUCAGCCGCUACGCCUCUCCGCCUCUCAGCCUCUCCGCCUCUGUAUCUACGCCUCUCUCUUUCUCCAACAUCCCUAGAAGCAAGCCGUGAGAUAAAACUGAGAAACAUAAUAGCUCUUGAGCAGUGCCAUUACCCUAAACACACCCACGUCUGUAGCUACGCCUUAUUCCUAGAUUAUCUCAUUGACACUGAUAAAGACGUUGACUUGCUUAUCGAGAAAGGAAUACUAAAAGGUUGGAUUUGGCAACCUGCUAAAGUUGCGCAGAUGGUGAACAAGCUCGUGACAGUCAUCGUAGAUCCUGGUUCUUACUAUUAUGAUAUAGCGGGUGAAGUCAACAAGUACUAUAGAAACCCGAUGAAUAGGUCAAAGACCAUCCUCAAGCGUGUGUAUUUCGGUAACCCGUGGACAUGGAUAGCCACCAUCGGCGCUACGUUUCUAUUGGUGAUGACACUUAUCCAGACUUAGGCAUCGACCAUUCAGGUUAAGCAGAAUGAACGUUAGAGAUGCAACUGCAUCUCUAUCUCUAGUUGGUUUGCAGUUUCCAACUUUGUCGUGGGUACUACGUUUUUUGUAACAAUCUUGCAGAUUAAUGAUAUUCUUAUUCUUUCU